rnacentral:misc_RNA from 1 species
UCCAGUUUGUCACCGGCAGUCUCAUUAGAGUGCUCUUACGUAGCAACUAAUAACAAGGGUUGCGCUCGUUGCGGGACUUAACCCAACAUCUCACGACACGAGCUGACGACAGCCAUGCAGCACCUGUGUGUCGGUUCUCUUGCGAGCACUCGCACCUCUCAGCGCGAUUCCGACCAUGUCAAGGGUAGGUAAGGUUUUUCGCGUUGCAUCGAAUUAAUCCACAUCAUCCACCGCUUGUGCGGGUCCCCGUCAAUUCCUUUGAGUUUUAAUCUUGCGACCGUACUCCCCAGGCGGUCUACUUCUCGCGUUUGCUUCGUUACUAAGUCCUAAUUGACCCAACAACUAGUAGACAUCGUUUAGGGCGUGGACUAC